GUGCUCGCUUCAGCAGCACAUAUACUAAAAUUGGAAUGAUACAGAGAAGAUUAGCAUGGCCCUUGUGCAAGGAUGACACAAAAAUUCCUGAAGUAUUCCAUUAAAAA
ensembl:snRNA U6 U6 spliceosomal RNA